CAGACCCCAAACCUUUAAAUGAUAGUCUUUUGCAUUUAUUUUACAGAAUAUUUACUGAAAUAGUUUGAAAACAAAUGUGUAUUAAAGUAAGACUUCUUUCAAAAACAUACUAAAAAACCUACACACCCCAAACAUUUGAUGUAAUGUUUAUAAAAUGCCAUUUUUUUUUUUUUUUUUUUAAUGUCAGGGUUUCUACUGUACUGAGGGGAGCUCAGCCCCAGAGCCGUGUGAAGAGGGCACAUUUGGAUCCCGGCAAGCCCUGAGUGAAGCAUCACAGUGUACCCCAUGUAGUGGGGGGAAAUAUUGCACCGGUUUGGGCAAAUCUGAGCCCACAGGGGACUGUGAAGGAGGAUUCUAUUGUAGACAGAGGUCUACGAGUCCAGUUCCUCCUGAUGGUCAUGAAGGGGGUGUGUGUCCUGCUGGCAGUUUCUGCCCACCGGGUUCAGUUCACCCACAGCCCUGCCCUUCAGGAACCUACAGUAACAGCACGGGUCUCCAACAUGCAGAGCAGUGUGUCCACUGUCCUCCAGGGUAUGACUGCAAGAGCAAAUA
ensembl:lncRNA